ACUCAAAUGAAUUGACGGGGGCCCGCACAAGCGGAGGAGCAUGUGGUUUAAUUCGAUGAUACGCGAGGAACCUUACCCGGGCUUGAAAGUUAGUGACCGAUCCGGAAACGGAUCUUCCCGCAAGGGCACGAAACUAGGUGCUGCAUGGCUGUCGUCAGCUCGUGCCGUGAGGUGUUGGGUUAAGUCCCGUAACGAGCGCAACCCCUAUCAUUAGUUGCCAUCAGGUCAUGCUGGGGACUCUAAUGAGACUGCCCGCGCAAGCGGUGAGGAAGGUGGGGAUGACGUCAAGUCAGCACGGCCCUUACGUCCGGGGCUACACACGUGCUACAAUGGACAGUACAGAAGGAAGCUACUAGGUGACUAGAUGCAAAUCUCCAAAGCUGUUCUCAGUUCGGAUCGAAGUCUGCAACUCGACUUCGUGAAGCUGGAUUCGCUAGUAAUCGGAUAUCAGCAAUGAUCCGGUGAAUACGUUCCCGGGCCUUGUACACACCGCCCGU
rnacentral:rRNA from 1 species